GACAGGUGACAGAUUGUGUGGUCUAGGCCUCCUCCCCAGAAGCCAGCUGCUUUCUCACAGGUUGUCCAUCUCCCAAGGGUACAUGUCCUCCCAGAGCCGUGUUGUCUUGACUGAACCCUAUUUUUUGUAUUUUAGGAGUCUGACAGUUUUUAGGUUUCCCUUUUAUAAGUAUAUCUGCCUGGAUUUCCUUACAGCUCUGUCCAUCAGCCUCCCCAAAGCAACUCCCCUCCUUCUUGCUGUUCACUGUUUGAUUGACUGUACUCCACAUUUGUUUUCACUCUGUGUGAAAAUCCCCCUACUUUUCUUUCCUUUCAUCUCUGUUCUUCCUCUCCUUCAUGUCUUUUGGACAACAUGUUUUUGUCUCAUGGUUCCAACCAAGUAAGCUCUUCAUCUGUUCAAAUACAAAAUAGGAAAAAAG
rnacentral:lncRNA from 1 species